UUUGAUUUCGUACGUAGCCAUAAUUCCAAUAGGGCUUAUGAAUCGUGCAUGCCACCUACGGACGCUAGGUGGUAUCUUAAGAAGAUUUUAAUU
rfam:Drosophila simulans chromosome 2R, whole genome shotgun sequence.